rnacentral:rRNA from 1 species
UACGUAGGCAGCGAGCGUUGUUCGGAAUUACUGGGCGUAAAGGGCUCGUAGGUGGCCAACUAAGUCAGACGUGAAAUCCCUCGGCUUAACCGGGGAACUGCGUCUGAUACUGGAUGGCUUGAGUUCGGGAGAGGGAUGCGGAAUUCCAGGUGUAGCGGUGAAAUGCGUAGAUAUCUGGAGGAACACCGGUGGCGAAGGCGGCAUCCUGGACCGACACUGACGCUGAGGAGCGAAAGCCAGGGGAGCAAACGGG